UACGGGGGGAGCAAGCGUUGUUCGGAUUUACUGGGCGUAAAGGGCGCGUAGGCGGCCAGCGCAAGUCAGUUGUGAAAUCUCCGAGCUUAACUCGGAAAGGUCAACUGAUACUGCGCGGCUAGAGUGCAGAAGGGGCAACUGGAAUUCUCGGUGUAGCGGUGAAAUGCGUAGAUAUCGAGAGGAACACCUGCGGCGAAGGCGGGUUGCUGGGCCGACACUGACGCUGAUGCGCGAAAGCUAGGGGAGCGAACGGG
rnacentral:rRNA from 1 species